GAUUAUUAAUGAGUCAAUCGGAUUUGAUGACUUUCAAAGAUUUUAUUGUAAUUUGACUCUCAGUGAAAUCCAACAGAAUAUCAGUGGAACAGAAAAUUUGAAAGAUCUUGCAGCAAAAAUUCAGAUACUGACAUCUAGACCAGAGAUGUUGUCAGCUGAGAAUGUCAGCAUCGCAACUCAGAUUGUCACAACAAUUCUGAACUCCACACCUCCUCAGGUUAAUACUGUUAUCUUCUUAUUCAUAGCAGCAACGUGCUAGCUGACUAUAUUUCACAUAAUGAAAAUUAAGGAUGCUGUAUGCUUAUAGGAAUAAAGCAUUUUUCCUUGGGUGAAUUUCUGUGUUUCUCUUUAGGAAGUUGCUGUUGCUGCAGUAACAACAGUGAGCCAGCUUUUAAAUGCUCAGGAUGACAAGUUCACCACACCAGGCAGCAGUGUCAGCACAAAGAGGCUUACUGAAGCCCUGCAAAAGUUUUCUGUUCAGACCUCUUACAAUAAUAGCUUGGUCCAACCCAACUUGGCUGUCCAGUCUGAAAUCAUGUCAGGUGCGAAUGUCAAGGGGGUCCAGUUUUCACUGAUUGGAGACCCCAGCAGCUUAGUGCCCAAUAGAAUUCGUUUCAACCCCAACGCCUCUCAGCUGACUGUUAACAGCUCAGGGACAGUCCAGAUAUUCAUCCAGUUUCCAUCAGAACCGCCUGUCCCAUACGGGGUCACGGAGAACCGGAGCCUACCCGGCAACACAGGGCGUAAGGCCGGAGGGGGAGGGGACACACCCAGGACGGGACGCCAGUCCGUCGCAAGGCACCUCAAGCGGGACUCAGACCCCAGACCCACUAGAGAGGAGGACCCGGUCCAACCCACUUUGCCACCGCGCCCCCCUGCAAGUAGCCAGUUAAAUUAAAUAAAACAAAAUUUGAUUUUACCCAAGUAAUAAAAUGAGUAUUAACACUGUCUAAAAUGUAACG
rnacentral:lncRNA from 1 species